UACGUAGGGUGCGAGCGUUGUCCGGAAUUAUUGGGCGUAAAGGGCUCGUAGGCGGCCAACUAAGUCAGACGUGAAAUCCCUCGGCUUAACCGGGGAACUGCGUCUGAUACUGGAUGGCUUGAGAUUGGGAGAGGGAUGCGGAAUUCCAGGUGUAGCGGUGAAAUGCGUAGAUAUCUGGAGGAACACCGGUGGCGAAGGCGACAUCCUGGACCAACACUGACGCUGAGGAGCGAAAGCCAGGGGAGCAAACGGG
rnacentral:rRNA from 1 species